rfam:Geosporobacter ferrireducens strain IRF9, complete genome.
UGGCUUGAGGUAUACGAACUACAUUGAAAGCUUAAGUCUGUAGGUGAGUUUGCAUCACAAAAUGAAACCCAAUAUCUACCUGAAGUAGAUAAAGCUAUUGUA